GGCCAUGAUCUCUACAAGCCACCAUGGCCAUAGCAAGCAUAACUCCAUUCUAAUUCUUUCUAUCCCUCUGAUGCUCACAUGCAGCCUGAGCUUCGGCUAGCAAUGCUCAGAGACGGUCAGCCUCAUCAGCUACUCGAUCAUGCGUAUUCCUCCAGUCAAGAAGCUGGCUACUCGCAACAGCCUCUUUUCUCUUGAGCUCUGCAACAAAGCAAAGUUCAAAAACCCUCGACUAUAGUCAAAAAUACUCAAAAAUCGUGAGUACCCACCUUGAUACUUCUUGUUCAAAGAUUUAUAGCGGCUCUCCAACUUCUACACUUCAUGGUCCCUCCUCUCUACGGCAAAAGACUUCGCAGCCUCCUUAUGAACCUUCAAG
rnacentral:lncRNA from 1 species